AACCCGCUGGGGUACCCUUACCACAUUGUGGAAGCUUUGUUCUUUUAGUCUUUGGGUCCACACCGUGUUUACGAGCUGUAACACUCAUUUGUUGAAGGUCUGCAGCUUCACUCUUGAAGCCAGUGAGACCGCGAACCCACCGGGAGGAACGAACAACUCCAGACGCACCACCUUAAGAGUUGUGACACUCACCGCGAAGGUCCGCAGCUUCACUCCUGAGCCAGUGAGACCACGAACCCCACCAGAAGGAAAAAACUCCGAACACAUCUGAACAUCAGAAGGAACAAACUCCGGACACGCUGCCUUUAAGAGCUGUAACACUCAUUGCCAGGGUCCACAGCUUCAUUCUUGAAGUCAGUGAGACCAAGAACCCACCAAUACCGGAAACACAUGGGCUGGGCCAGGCAAGGGGGACGUUUGGGGCUCAGUCUGUCCUGGUCCCUUCUAUGGCUACUCCAGUCCCUCCCCUGCUUGCUGCACUCUAGCCACCCCUGGACUCCUCCAAGGGUCUUGAUCAGGCCCUGCACAGGUCCCUGGGGCUCUGCACUCGCCAAGCCCUCUGCCUAAGAGGUUCUUUGCCCAGAUACUUACAUUGUGUUCUCCUGGUCUUUAUCCACGGGUCCCUGACUUUCCUGACCUCCCUGAAGGAAAGCCAGGAAGAGUGGAGAGGUCUGAGCUAGGAGCCUGUGGGAGUCAAAGAAGGUGCCCAGAGGAGGAGAGGAAGAGAAAGGGUGAGCCAGGUGGGGGGACUCUGCCCACCCCUCAUACCCCGGCUGAGCCCUCCCAUGCCUGCCUGCUCCCGUCAACCUCCCACCUCCCUGCUGAGUUGGAGCCGGGGGAGCCUGGAGGUGAGGAUGUGCCAGGUAGGAGCCCCACAGGGGCCAUGGGACACCAAGAGGUGAUCCAGGAGGCAUGCGUGGCAGCCCUGCCUCUGAAGUGUGGGGCCUAAGAGGGACCUGUUGGGCAGCUCAGGGCUUCUCCUUGGGGAGCUGACCCAGCCGUCUGUUCUGUGACCACCUUGACACCCACAUCCAGUUCCUGCCGCAGUGCGCCUCUGUGAGCCCCACCCCCUGGCGGUGCUUGUGCAAACAAUGGAAGGAAUGAGUAUUCCAGGCACUGAAGCAGCAGGCACAAAGUCCUGAGGCAGGAGAGAACUUGGUGUUUUUCAUGGGAAGGAGUCAGUAUUCCAGGCACUGAAGCAGCAGGUACAAAGUCCUGAGGCAGGAGAGAACUUGGUGUUUUUCAUGGGAAGGAGUCAGUAUUCCAGGCACUGAAGCAGCAGGUACAAAGUCCUGAGGCAGGAGAGAACUUGGUGUUUUUCAUGGGCUCUUUCAGAAUGACUGGUCUACAGUGAGCCGGAGAAAGGGGUGCAGAUGGGUCUGAAAACAGCAGGGCCAGUGGACCACGCAGGCCUCAGCAGCUUCAUCUGUGGGUGGGGCUCACGUUUACUCUACCCACCCAUUCUGGGAUUAGUAGCUACCCAGGGCUUUGCUGCUCUGGGGUGCUGGUGUCUCGCAUUAGGCCUUCUCUUGCAUGAUCUCUGCUGAUAUCCACUGGCCAUGCAGCCUCGAGCAGGUGGGGACAGACUUGGUCUACUCCAGGGCAGGUGCCCAAAGUCACACGGCAAAAGGGCGUGGCGGGAGGUGGUAAAAAGCUGGGAGCAACAGUCCAUCUAGCACAAAUACACAUUUGCUGCAAAAAGCCCUGUUGUCAAGACAGUCCUCAGGUUUGACGAUUCAGUAGAAGGACUCACAGUUAUUCAUUACAGCAAAAGGACACAGAAGAAAAUCGGCAAAGGAAAAAUAAGGCACAUAGAGCGGGCCCGGCGGGGAGACCAGGUGCAAGUACCCACAGGAUAUCGCUCUCCCAACAGUACUGGGAGUGUUGCCAAACUGGGAAGCUCACCUGAGACUUUGUGUCCAGAGCUGUGGUUAGGGGUUGAUCACAUAGGCGGGGAGUGCCCAUAUGGCUGACCUGAGUUACUCGGUCUCCAGCUCCUUCAGAGCUCAAGCUCAUGACCCAAGGCCUCAAGUUAGCUUAGACUAGCUGGUGUGGUCCAAGGCCCCCACAUAAGCAAAGACACUCUUAU
rnacentral:lncRNA from 1 species